GCCGGGAUGGUGGAAUGGUAGACACAAGGGACUUAAAAUCCCUCGGCUGCAAAGCCGUGCCAGUUCAAGUCUGGUUCCCGGCA
rnacentral:tRNA from 2 species